rnacentral:rRNA from 1 species
GAUUCUGGCUCAGGAUUAACGCUGGCGGCGUGCCUAAUACAUGCAAGUCGAAUGGUUAGCUUGCUAACCAUGGCGAACGGGUGAGUAACACGUAGGCAACCUGUCUAAGAGACGAGGAUAACCAUUGGAAACGAUGGAUAAUACUGGAUAAGAUAUUGGGAGGCAUCUUCUGAUAUUUAAAGAUUUAUCGCUAAUAGAGGGGCCUGCGGCGCAUUAGCUAGUUGGUGAGGUAACGGCCCACCAAGGCGAUGAUGCGUAGCCGGACUGAGAGGUUGAACGGCCACAAUGGGACUGAGAACGGCCCAUACUCCUACGGGAGGCAGCAGUAGGGAAUUUUCGGCAAUGGACGAAAGUCUGAACCCGAGCAACGCCGCGUGAACGAAGAAGUAUUUCGGUAUGUAAAGUUCUUUUAUUUGGGAAGAAAAUACAUUGACUGUACCAAAUGAAUAAGCUCCGGCUAACUACGUGCCAGCCGCUGC